rfam:Schistosoma rodhaini strain Burundi genome assembly, scaffold: SROB_scaffold0009700
AUCCAGAUGACGAGUUCGACAUAGGACGAAACGCUCGUCUUGGAU